CAAGCAAGUAAGUGCAGAUUUUCUUCUGAAUGAAUUUUGUUCAUUAUAAAAGUUUUGCCAAGCGAAUAGCCGUUCUUAAGGUUCUAGACAAUGCAAAUCUAUUUUCUAAGAACACAUUUUUAUUCUUUGGAUGGUAUGCCAGAAUUGGUUUGCAUUGACUCGAAAGUUGGGACGAUGGUAGGGAAAUAAGAUCAAAGCAUGAGUCCAACAUUUCUGUGGUGCAAUCUAUUUAUAAGGAAAAGAGAUGGCUUUGGUCACAGGAGAAGGAUGCUACAUAGAGCCUGGACAUUACAAGUAAGAUUAUUCACUCUAUUUUGAUCUUAUUUCAUGACUUUCACUCUGAAUUAAGCAGACUUAGAAAACAUUCAAUACAUUCAUGCAUGAGUUACCACUUUAUUUGGUCGUUAGAACUUUUAAGAAGCUAAUAAUUUAGUCCAUCAACUUCGAUCUAUAACCAUUUAGUUCACGUAUUUUAAAUUUGUAAUAAUUUAAUUACUAUACAUCGAAAUUAAAUUCUGA